GUAUAAUCAUCCUUUUGAAGAUGAUUUACUUAUCUCCAUGGAAACUCUCACUUACAGUACGCCUGACGGACCAAAAUCAUGGGAGGAUGUGUCAACCGAGGACCUUAGAAAAUGGCAGGAGGAAGUAGUUGAGUGUAACAGAGGAAGUGAAAGGAAUGCAGAAAUGUCAAAGCAAGAUAACAGUGAUUUUGAGGAUGGACAUUCAACGGGACAUCAGGUAU